GAUGAACGCUGGCGGCGUGCCUAAUACAUGCAAGUCGAGCGAACGGACGAGAAGCUUGCUUCUCUGAUGUUAGCGGCGGACGGGUGAGUAACACGUGGAUAACCUACCUAUAAGACUGGGAUAACUUCGGGAAACCGGAGCUAAUACCGGAUAAUAUUUUGAACCGCAUGGUUCAAAAGUGAAAGACGGUCUUGCUGUCACUUAUAGAUGGAUCCGCGCUGCAUUAGCUAGUUGGUAAGGUAACGGCUUACCAAGGCAACGAUGCAUAGCCGACCUGAGAGGGUGAUCGGCCACACUGGAACUGAGACACGGUCCAGACUCCUACGGGAGGCAGCAGUAGGGAAUCUUCCGCAAUGGGCGAAAGCCUGACGGAGCAACGCUGCGUGAGUGAUGAAGGUCUUCGGAUCGUAAAACUCUGUUAUUAGGGAAGAACAUAUGUGUAAGUAACUGUGCACAUCUUGACUGUACCUAAUCAGAAAGCCACGGCUAACUACGUG
rnacentral:rRNA from 1 species